ACAAAGAGAGUAGCGCACUGGUGAGUAACACGUGGGAACGUACCUUGAAGCGGGGAAUAGCGUCUGGAAACGGACGAUAAUACCGCAUAAUCCCUGAGGGGAAAGAUUUAUCGCUUUAAGAACGGCCCGCGGAAGAUUAGGUAGUUGGUGGGGUAAAGGCCUACCAAGCCUACGAUCUAUAGCUGGUCUGAGAGGACGAUCAGCCACAUUGGAACUGAGACACGGUCCAAACUCCUACGGGAGGCAGCAG
rnacentral:rRNA from 1 species